AACAAACAAAUAAUUCAGACCUUGGUCUGGCAAAGGAGGCAGCCACCAUCACUAGUGUUUGACAAAGACUCAGGCAGAGGCAGUCAGGGGGAGCAGAAAAGCUUCAUAGUGAAAUAAAAAGGGAUGGCCUCAGGUAUGUGUGUCUUGAUUGGAAGUUGUUGGCAUGGAGAGGCUAACUAGAAGCAGGACUUCUUAUGUGAUGGCUUUGAGGAAUAUAUCUUUUUCUCUGCUUGGUCCUGAGUUUGGAGCAAAAAUAGGGAAAUUGGCCGUCGCUGACCAACUCUGACCGUUCUGGGCCAAUUGCUGCAAAGGUUGUGGUUUGGCUUCCCCAGUGAUUGCUGCAGAAGUUGUUGGUGAGAGUUCUGUUGUCAUGUAUGCUUUGGCCAUUGUCUGUUUGUAUAUUGAGUCUCUUCCACCUGAAGGCCUAGGAUGAAAUAUGUAUUUCCCUGUAUCCUCCCUUGCAUUCUCAUUUUUACCACCACAAAACCAUAUCUCUUCUCUGAUUAGUGAAGUUGAGAAUCUCUUCAUAUAUUUUUCAGCCAUUUAGAAUUUGUCUUCUGUGAAUUGCUGAUUAAUAUCUUUUAUUUAUUUAUUUAUUUAUUUUGAGAUGGAGUCUUAUGCUGUUGCCCAGGCUGGAGUGCAGUGGCGCAACCUUGGCUCACCACAGCCUCCGCCUCCUGGCGGGUUCACACAAUUCUACUGCCUCAGCCUCCCUAGUAGCUGGGAUUACAGGUGCCAGCCACCAUGCCCAGCUGAUUUUUUUUGUUGUUGUUUUUUCUUUGAGACAGAGUCUGGCUCUGUUGCCCAGGCUGGAGUGUAGUGGCACGAUCUCGGCUCACUGCAACCUCCGCCUCCCGGGUUCAAGCGAUCCUCCUGCCUCAGCCCCCCUAGUAGCUGGGAUUACAGGCAUGUGCCACCAUGCCUGGAUAAUUUUUGUAUUUUUAGUAGGGACGGGGUUUCGCCAUGUUGGCCAGGCUGGUCUCAAACUCCUGACAUUAGAUGAUCUGCCUGCUUCGGCCUCCCAAAGUGCUGGGAUUACAGGCGUGAGCCACCGUGCGUGGCCCGAAAAUUUUUGUAUUUUUAGUAGAGAUGGGGUUUCUCCAUGUUGACCAGGCUGGUCUCAAACUCUUGACCUCAGGUGAUCCACCCGCCUCGGUCUCCCAACGUGCUGGAAUUAUAGGCAUGGGCCACCAUCAAUGUUCUUUCAUCAGUUUCAAAAACAAACAAACACCUCUUUUCUUUUUAUUGCUAGUUUGCAGAAGUUCCUCAUAUAUCUGGGUAGUAAUCCCAUUCUUUUUAAUUGUUUUUAUUUUAUUUUUCUUUUUUCUGAGACAAGUCUCGCUCUGUUGCCCAGGCUGGGAUGCAGUGGUGGGAUCUUGGUUCACUGCAGCCUCCGCCUCCUCGGUUCAAGCAAUUCUCCUGCCUCAGCCUCCUGAGUAGCUGGGAUUACAGGGACAGAGUUUCAAUCCAUCUCCCAGACUGGAGUACAGUGGCAUGAUCUCAGCUUACCGCAACCUCCGUCUCCUGGGUUCAAGCGACUCUCCUGCCUCAGCCUCCUGAGUAGCAGGGAAUUACAGCCUCGUGCCACUACUGCCCAGCUAAUUUUUGUAUUUUUAGUAGAGAUGGGGUUUCACCAUGUUGGCCAGGCUGGUCUUGAACUCCUGACCUCAAAUGAUCUGCCCGCCUCGGCCUCCCAAAGUGCUGGGAUUACAGGCAUGAGCCACCGUACCCAGCCUGUUUUUGUGAUUUUUUAACUAUUCCAGAUACCUCAUGUGAAUGGACGGAUACAGUAUUUGUCCUUGUGUGACUGGCUUAUUUCACUCAGUGUGACAUCCUCGAGGUUCAGCCAUGUUGUAGCAUGUGAAAGAAUCUUCUUUUAAAAAGGCUGCAUAAUAUUCCUUUGUAUGUUUAUACCACAUCUUCAUGUACUCACCUUUAGAUGGACGUUUUUGUGGUUUUCACCUCUUGGAUAUUUUGAAUAAUGCUGUAAUGAACAUGGAUGUGUAAAUAUCUUUUUGAAUUCUUGCCCCAAAAUGGAAUUGCUGGAUCA